rnacentral:rRNA from 1 species
GACGAACGCUGGCGGCGUGCUUAACACAUGCAAGUCGAACAGAAAGGCCCUGCUUUUGUGGGGUGCUCGAGUGGCGAACGGGUGAGUAACACGUGAGUAACCUGCCCUUGACUUUGGGAUAACUUCAGGAAACUGGGGCUAAUACCGGAUAGGAGCUCCUGCUGCAUGGUGGGGGUUGGAAAGUUUCGGCGGUUGGGGAUGGACUCGCGGCUUAUCAGCUUGUUGGUGGGGUAGUGGCUUACCAAGGCUUUGACGGGUAGCCGGCCUGAGAGGGUGACCGGCCACAUUGGGACUGAGAUACGGCCCAGACUCCUACGGGAGGCAGCAGUGGGGAAUAUUGCACAAUGGGAGGAAGCCUGAUGCAGCAACGCCGCGUGCGGGAUGACGGCCUUCGGGUUGUAAACCGCUUUCGCCUGUGACGAAGCGUGAGUGACGGUAAUGGGUAAAGAAGCACCGGCUAACUACGUG